ACACGUAGGUAUCUACCCUUUGGCCUGGAAUAACACGAGGAAACUUGUGCUAAUACCGGAUAAGUCCUUACGGAGAAAGCUUUAUGCACCAUUGGAUGAGCCUGCACUUGAUUAGUUUGUUGGUGGGGUAAUGGCCCACCAAGACUGUGAUCAAUAGCUGAUUUGAGAGGAUGAUCAGCCACAUUGGGACUGAGACACGGCCCAAACUCCUACGGGAGGCAGCAGUGGGGAAUCUUGCACAAUGGAGGAAACUCUGAUGCAGCGAUGCCGCGUGAGUGAAGAAGGCCUUUGGGUUGUAAAGCUCUUUCGUCGGGGAAGAAAAUGACUGUACCCGAAUAAGAAGGUCCGGCUAACUUCGUGCCAGCAGCCGCGGUAAUACGAAGGGACCUAGCGUAGUUCGGAAUUACUGGGCUUAAAGAGUUCGUANGUGGUUGAAAAAGUUAGUGGUGAAAUCCCAGAGCUUCACUCUGGAACUGCCAUUAAAACUUUUCAGCUAGAGUAUGAUAGAGGAAAGCAGAAUUUCUAGUGUAGAGGUGAAAUUCGUAG
rnacentral:rRNA from 1 species